rnacentral:tRNA from 1 species
GCCUGGGUGGCUCAGUCGGUUGAGCGUCCGACUUCAGCUCAGGUCAUGAUCUCAAUGGUUUGUGAGUUCAAGUCUCACAUCAGGCU